UCCUCCCUCUUUCUUCGUGCCUAAUACAUGCAAGUAGAACGCUGAAGAGAGGAGCUUGCUCUUCUUGGAUGAGUUGCGAACGGGUGAGUAACGCGUAGGUAACCUGCCUUGUAGCGGGGGAUAACUAUUGGAAACGAUAGCUAAUACCGCAUAACAAUGGAUGACACAUGUCAUUUAUUUGAAAGGGGCAAUUGCUCCACUACAAGAUGGACCUGCGUUGUAUUAGCUAGUAGGUGAGGUAAUGGCUCACCUAGGCGACGAUACAUAGCCGACCUGAGAGGGUGAUCGGCCACACUGGGACUGAGACACGGCCCAGACGCCUACGGGAGGCAGCAGUAGGGAAGCUUCGGCAAUGGGGGCAACCCUGACCGAGCAACGCCGCGUGAGUGAAGAAGGGUUUCGGAUCGUAAAGCUCUGUUGUAAGUCAAGAACGGGUGUGAGAGUGGAAAGUUCACACUGUGACGGUAGCUUACCAGAAAGGGACGGCUAACUACGUG
rnacentral:rRNA from 1 species